AUCAAAACAGAGCCUCACAUGCAGUAAACUUGUGUUUUACUCUUUGUCUCUUACAGGAGAUAAAUGUUGUGCUCAGAGGAGGAGUCAGACUUCAUUUUGACCCUGCUUCAUGGUCAGUGGUUAUAAUUGUGUGAAAAGGCAGCAGUGGGCAUUAACCAGAGUGAUACUGAUACAGCAAGUGGCCAAACGUCCAAGACAUUUUAACUGUGGAAUAGAAAAAACAUCUGGACUGGAAAAGUGUUGUGGGAGAUAAUCAAAUCCUGCUAAAGGCACUGCCUAUAGAAGAUGAUGUAGAAAUGUCUGAAAAGAAGUUCAAGCCGUACCUCUGUGGCUACAGAGAAGCUCUCAGCUC
rnacentral:lncRNA from 1 species